CGGGACGGGUGAGUAACGCGUGGAAAACCUGCCGUAUACUGGGGGAUAACACUUAGAAAUAGGUGCUAAUACCGCAUAAGCGCACAGCUUCGCAUGAAGCAGUGUGAAAAACUCCGGUGGUAUACGAUGGUUCCGCGUCUGAUUAGCUAGUUGGUGAGGUAAAAGCCCACCAAGGCAACGAUCAGUAGCCGGCCUGAGAGGGUGAACGGCCACAUUGGGACUGAGACACGGCCCAGACUCCUACGGGAGGCAGCAG
rnacentral:rRNA from 1 species